rnacentral:snRNA from 1 species
GGAUGUGAGGAUGAUCUGGCUGCAACAUAUGUCACCCCACUGAUUCCCAGAGUUGAUUCGGCUGACCUGGCUGGCUUAGCAGGUGCCCUCUUCCUCCCUCACUGCUCUGUGUGUGUCCCUCCCAAAGCCGCAUUCUUGGUGGAAGAGGAUGACCUUCUCCGAUAGAGGAGGAAUGGUCUUUGGUCAAGGGGAUAUGAGUACCUAAGCUCCCCUGCUAGAAACUCUAAACAAGCUCUCAAAUAAUUUCUAUUUAAUAGCGGAGAUGAGAUACAUAUAUAAUUAAUUUCAGUACAAGGUUGAACAUU